CCCCAGCCAGGCUGCCACCUCGCAGUUCAAUCUCAGACUGCUGUGCUAGCAGUGGGGAAGGCUCCGUGGGCAUGGAAACUGCCGAGCCAGGCACAGUAGAGAAUCACCUUGUCUGCCGGUUGCUAAGACCUUUGGAAAAGUGCAGUAUUUGGGUGAGAGUGUCCUAUUUUUCCAGGUACAGUCUGUCACGUCUUCCCUUGGCUAGGAAAGGGAAAUCCCCCGACCCCUUACACUUUCCGGGUGAGGCAACGCCCCACUCUGCUUCAGCUCACCCUCCAUGGGCUGCACUCACCUUCCAACCAGUCUCAAUGAGAUGAACCAGGUACCUCAGUUGGAAAUGCAGAAAUCACCCGUCUUCUGCGUCAAUCACGCUGAGAACUGCAGACCAGAGCUGUUCCUAUUUGGCCAUCUUGGAACCGGUCUGAGUCUGUUUUAGCCAGAUCAAGUACUUGACUUCUCCUAUGGAGAAUGCAGCAAGAAAAUACCAUCUUGAAGCAGAGAGCAGCGCUCAUCAGGCAUCAGUCCUUCUGGAGCCUUGAUCUUGGACCUCCCAGCUCCAA
rnacentral:lncRNA from 1 species